rnacentral:rRNA from 1 species
CCUACGGGAGGCAGCAGUGGGGAAUAUUGCACAAUGGGCGCAAGCCUGAUGCAGCGACGCCGCGUGAAGGAAGAAGGCUUUCGGGUUGUAAACUUCUUUUAAGAGGGAAGAGCAGAAGACGGUCCCUCUUGAAUAAGCCACGGCUAACUACGUGACAGCAGGCGCGGUAAUACGUAGGUGGCAAGCGAUGUCCGGAUUUACUGGGUGAAAAGGGCGUGCAGCCGGGAAGGCAAGUCAGAUGUGAAAUCCCGGGGCUCAACCGCGGAACUGCAUUUGAAACUGUUUUUCUUGAGUACCGGAGAGGUCAUCGGAAUUCCUUGUGUAGCGGUGAAAUGCGUAGAGAUAAGGAAGAACACCAGUGGCGAAGGCGGAUGACUGGACGGCAACUGACGGUGAGGCGCGAAAGCGUGGGGAGCAAACAGGAUUAGAUACCCGAGUAGUC